AAAGUAAUUUCACUUUUUGCCACUAAAGGCAGUGGCAAAAACUGCAAUUACUUUUGC
ensembl:miRNA